rnacentral:tRNA from 1 species
GCGCCUGUAGCUCAGCUGGAUAGAGCAUCUGCCUUCUAAGCAGAGGGUCCGGGGUUCAAGUCCCUGCAGGCGUG